CAGCUAUUUCAUUCAUUCAUUUUAAAUGUGGGUGGGUUAGGAAAGGGAGGAGGGAGUGCUCUGUGUUCAAACUGGAGGGGAAAGGAAAGUAAACUUUGUAUGCAGGAAGCUAAGAGAAUGAGGAGUAAACAUCAUCAGCCCCAUUGCUGCAUUUGUUUAAACUUCUUUUUAUGAUUAGAUUGAGCUUUCCUUUUAGCUUUGUUAUGCUUUAUGGUUGCUGUUUGGCUAUAUUAUUAUAUGCUUUGAAACAAAUAAUGUAGUUAAUUUUCAUUUCAAUAGUGAACUGUUAAAAAGAAAAUCUAGCUUUUGGUCAGAUGGAAGACACCUCAACACAGGAAACCUGUAUUUGUUGGCUUUGUCAUUGCACAGGUUAUACAAGGGAAUAAAUUUGAAAAGCUGAUUAAUUUUCCUGCACAUGAAUUCUGGAUAUCAAUUUUCAACCACACUUCAACCAGGCUAUGUGGUAUGAAGGGUUACAGGAGAGAGGGAGGAAAAUAGCCCUAUAUUAGUCAUGUUUGCAUACAGAGGAUCGAAGUAGGACUUCAACAUAAUACUCCUAAUUAAAAAGGUACUCACUGGAGGAGAGAAAAAGGGGCUUUUCCUCUAGCUGGUAACUAUUCAGAUGAUGGACAAGUCCUCUUUCAUAAAAGCUUACAAAGAAGACAUCCGAAACACGGUCUGUGAUACUGGGUCACAUAUUAAUCACCACAGCUAAUUGUAAAUCUUUCUAUGAAACACUGAAAAGCCUCUUUGUGAAUUAAUACAGUUCUGCUUGAUGCAUUUGAUUUGAAAAGACAUUUCUCUGUAUGUGGCGCAUGUCGGCUGUGCUUUGAAAAAUAACAAAGUUAGCAGAAUACAUUCAAUAUAUUUUCUUGGGGAAUAGGGUUUUUAUCAUAUGACUCAUUAAGGAUUUGCCUUAUCCUGACAUUUGUGAUAUAAAGGAAAAUCAGAAAAAAAGUAAUUUUCUUGAUCAAGAUAUGUUUUUACUUAAUGCAAAUAAAUGUAGUCUGUUGCUUGCAAGGAAAAAAAUCUUCUGGUAUAAACUGCUCAAUAGGAUAAUACGUGCCUCUUUUGUUAAACCAGCCUUGAAAUGCUGGACUGCUUCUCAAUCCGUUUGUUUCUUUUCAUCUGUGCCAUACACUAAGACACUUAAACAACUGUUGCCUUCAUACUAUAUUUGUUAGAGCAGAGUGCAAAUAAAAUUCGUUUGAGAGGAUAAUGUGGAAUUAUCU
rnacentral:lncRNA from 1 species